GCCUUUCAGAGUAAAACCCAACAAGAUGUUUCAGGUUAGACCAGCAGAAAUAUCCCGACACGUUUCUGUGUGAUCAAAUAUUCGUUAAGGGUUUUAAAUUUUCCACAAAUUGGCUGCAAGCUUCAGAUUUUUGGUGAAACUGUGAGACUAAAACAGACCAGAAGGUUGAACUCUGACCUCACCCCACCUGCAGGCGGGUCGCAGCGUCUCUAACUCAGUCUGGAGGUUCUGGAUGCUCUCCAGGUUCUGGACGUUCUCCAGGUUCUGGACGUUCUCCAGAUUCUGGACGUUCUCCAGGUUCUGGACAUUCUCCAGGUUCUGGAGGUUCUGGAUGCUCUCCAGAACCUGGACGCUCUCCAGAACCUGGACGCUCUCCAGAACCUGGACGUUCUCCAGGUUCUGGACAUUCUGGACGUUCUCCAGGUUCUGGACGUUCUCCAGGUUCUCGAGAUUCUGGACGUUCUCCAGGUUCUGGACGUUCUCCAGGUUCUGGAGGUUCUGGUUGUUU